UAAAACCCAUUUCUUAAUAAUAGAUCUAUAAAAUGUGAUUUGGAGAGGGAAGCUUUCUCACCCAUUUUUCUUACAGAUAACAGAUAAAUAAAGGGGAAAACAAGAAGAUGAAAAAAAAAGCUUAAAUCAGUGGCUUUUGGAGCAGGUGAAAUAGUGGACGAUGGCGCCACCGAUGGUCGACUGUCGGUAAUUGAUUCCAAUUCAUGUUAAGAGAAAAGAUUAGGUGAAGAAGAUAAGUGGUUAAGAGUGAUGAUGAAGUUUAAAGAGAGGCACG
rnacentral:lncRNA from 1 species